rnacentral:misc_RNA from 1 species
UUGAUUCAUUUGUAAAAUCCAAUCAGAAGAUACUAUAAGAGUAAAUACAGAGGUUUGGGUCCUCCGGCGGGCGCCAGUUUCCGGUCUGCCCUGUGGGCGUUCCGGGGCACAAAACCCGCCGAAGCAACGGUAAAGGUAUAUGUUCACAUUGGGGUUUGGGAGUUGUAAACUCGGUAAUGAUCCCUCCGCUGGUUCACCAACGGAGA